UAUGGUAUGUGUGCCACGCGGUAAUACGUAGGGAGCAAGCGUUGUCCGGAUUUACUGGGUGUAAAGGGUGCGUAGGCGGCUUUGCAAGUCAGAUGUGAAAUCUAUGGGCUCAACCCAUAAACUGCAUUUGAAACUGUAGAGCUUGAGUGAAGUAGAGGCAGGCGGAAUUCCCCGUGUAGCGGUGAAAUGCGUAGAGAUGGGGAGGAACACCAGUGGCGAAGGCGGCCUGCUGGGCUUUAACUGACGCUGAGGCACGAAAGCGUGGGUAGCAAACAGG
rnacentral:rRNA from 1 species